ACCCGCAGCUAUAUCACCCUGAAGCUCUGAGCUAGCAGCACAUUGAAGCUCAGCAGGUGUGAGCCUGGCCAGUACCUGGAUGGGAGACCUCAUAAGAAAGCUAAGGUUGCUGCUGGAA
rnacentral:rRNA from 1 species